CGUGUAGGCGGUUUAGUAAGUCAGAUGUGAAAGCCCUGGGCUCAACCCGGGAAGUGCAUUUGAAACUGCUUUACUUGAGUAUGGGAGGGGAGAGUGGAAUUCCUGGUGUAGAGGUGAAAUUCGUAGAUAUCAGGAGGAACAUCUGUGGCGAAGGCGACUCUCUGGACCAAUACUGACGCUGAGACGCGAAAGCGUGGGUAGCAAACA
rnacentral:rRNA from 1 species